GAUGAACGCUAGCUACAGGCUUAACACAUGCAAGUCGCGGGGCAGCAUGGGGGUUGCUUGCAAUCCCCGAUGGCGACCGGCGCACGGGUGAGUAACGCGUAUCCAACCUGCCCUUCACCACGGGAUAACCCGGCGAAAGUCGGACUAAUACCGUAUGUUGUCCAUUGACGGCAUCCGAUUUGGACGAAAGGCUUGGCGGUGAGGGAUGGGGAUGCGUCCGAUUAGCCAGACGGCGGGGUAACGGCCCACCGUGGCUACGAUCGGUAGGGGUUCUGAGAGGAAGGUCCCCCACACUGGAGCUGAGACACGGUCCAGACUCCUACGGGAGGCAGCAGUGAGGAAUAUUGGUCAAUGGGCGUAAGCCUGAACCAGCCAAGUAGCGUGCAGGAUGACGGCCCUAUGGGUUGUAAACUGCUUUUAUGCGGGGAUAAAGUGGCCCACGUGUGGGCUUUUGCAGGUACCGCAUGAAUAAGGACCGGCUAAUUCCGCG
rnacentral:rRNA from 1 species